UGAAAAAGAUACAAUCAGGCAGAAUUAUGACACUGUGUCCACAGAUGUAUCCCCAGCAUCAAGAAUAGUGCCAGGCACUGGGAUGCUCAACAUGAGAAGAGAAACUACGCCAAAAUCCAAGGAAACAGAAGAAAAAAAAAUCAGAAGAAGAUAGAGUAUCUUUGCUGGAGUGAACUGAGUGAAUGGCAAUAACCCUUCAGGAGAAUUUUCCAGAAAAAGGAAAUUUUUAAGAAAAAGGAAAUUUUUGGGGCGCCUGGGUGGCUCAGUCAGUUGAGCGUUUGCCUUGGGCCCAG